AACUUUUGACAACGGAUCUCGCAUCGAUGAAGAACGCAGCGAAAUGCGAUAAGUAAUGUGAAUUGCAGAAUUCAGUGAAUCAUCGAAUCUUUGAACGCACCUUGCGCUCCUUGGUAUUCCGAGGAGCAUGCCUGUUUGAGUGUCAUUAAAUUCUCAACCUUCCAGCUUUUAUUAGCUUGGUUAGGCUUGGAUGUGGGGGUUGUGGGCUUCAUUAAUGAGGUCAGCUCUCCUUAAAUGCAUUAGCGGAACUUUUGUGGACCGUCUAUUGGUGUGAUAAUUAUCUACGCCGUGGAUGUGAAGCAGCUUUAUGAAGUUCAGCUUCUAAUCGUCCAUUGACUUGGACAAUUUUUGACAAUUUGACCUCAAAUCAGGUAGGACUACCCGCUGAACUUAAGCAUAUCAAUAAGCGGAGGCU
rnacentral:misc_RNA from 1 species